rnacentral:rRNA from 1 species
ACGGUGAGGGAUGAAAGCUGGGGGAGCGAACCGGAUUAGAUACCCGGGUAGUCCCAGCUGUAAACGAUGCGAGCUAGGUGACACGAGGCCUUCGGGGCCUUGUGGUGCCGCAGGGAAGCCGUUAAGCUCGCCGCCUGGGGAGUACGGACGCAAGUCUGAAACUUAAAGGAAUUGGCGGGGGAGCACCACAAGGGGUGAAGCCUGCGGUUCAAUUGGAGUCAACGCCGA